UGGCUCUCGCAUCGAUGAAGAACGCAGCGAAAUGCGAUAAGUAAUGUGAAUUGCAGAAUUCAGUGAAUCAUCGAAUCUUUGAACGCACCUUGCACUCCUUGGUAUUCCGAGGAGCAUGCCUGUUUGAGUGUCAUGAAAUUUUAACUCAACCUUUCAAGCUUUUUGUUAUUCAAAAGUUAGUUAGGCUUGGAUUGUGGGAGUUAUGCCGGUUCAAAAAAAUUGGCUCUCCUUAAAUUGAUUAGCAAGAUUUAAUUGCUUGAAUCACCAUUGAUAAUGAUAAUUAUCUGUAUCAUUGAUGAAGCAAUGUUUUUCCUUGUAGGAAAAAAAAUCUAGCUUACAAACCGAAUUGUCUUUAUAGAUAAUUCAUUUGAACUAUUUGACCUCAAAUCAGGCAGGACUACCCGCUGA
rnacentral:misc_RNA from 1 species